UACGAAGGGGGCUAGCGUUGCUCGGAAUUACUGGGCGUAAAGGGCGCGUAGGCGGACAGUUUAGUCAGAGGUGAAAGCCCAGGGCUCAACCUUGGAAUUGCCUUUGAUACUGGCUGUCUUGAGUUCGGGAGAGGUGAGUGGAAUGCCGAGUGUAGAGGUGAAAUUCGUAGAUAUUCGGCGGAACACCAGUGGCGAAGGCGACUCACUGGCCCGAUACUGACGCUGAGGCGGCGAAAGCGUGGGGAGCAAACAGGG
rnacentral:rRNA from 1 species